GUUUGUGGGGCUGGAUCCCACUGGGCAGGACAUCUGCCUAUACCCUGGAAUAAGAAUAUACAGUCUCUUCUAGCACUGACAGUUGUCUCUUUAUGUCGGAUGAGCUAACAGCAGCCACUCCCAUACUGUCGGAUCCUGCUUCCCUUGCCAUAGCUGAUUAACCCAGGGUAAGACACUGGGAAUUGGAAACUUGGAGUGGAAAGACUCUGAUCAUAGUGGUCUCUGGAGCCAAAUCCCAUUCCAUGGCAAUGUUCUGGAAGGUGGAUGAUAAGAGACAGCAGCCGGCAGAAGGAAAGCAGUGAUCUGAACACCUAACGGGAAUCCUAAACAGUGGAGAAAGGAGAGCAAACAUUAAAAACUCAUGGAUAGAAAAAAAGAGGAAAAGAAAACCAUUUGGAAGUGUUCAUUGAGUUGAUGCACUGGAUAAUUUAAUAAGCUGUCUGUUCUGAUCCGUCUUGCUUCCCUGCUUUUAGCAGGGUGCCAUAUGAAAGCUCCUACAUGGAUGAACAUUCAUCCCAUCCGUACCACUUACUGGCCAUGUGUCUUGACUCCAGCCACUAUACCACUGAAGCCUCAGUUUCCUCAGCUGUGUAAUGGGACCAAAAAUCUCUGCCUUUCCUACUUUGCAGAGACAGUGACUGGACAAAUUGAGAAGAUGGAUGUAAAGAGUAACAUACAAAUAUCAGGUUUGCUCCUCAUUUUUAUUGCCUCUCCCCAGCAAUGGGUGUUUUUG
rnacentral:lncRNA from 1 species